UGAGGCUGAUUUAAACCAAUGAGCUGAGCUGGAGGACUGAGGAACAGCUGUAGGGUGUCUAAAAUCAACAACGUUUGGAAGAAAUGAAGUCCUUUCCAAGAUUAGGAUUAAAUGAUCCAUAUGAGGAUUUUACAGCUGAUCCAGAUUAUAUGGAUGUGAUGAUUUGGAUCAACAUUCAUGUGUGUUUACCCUUCACCUUUUUGGUCAUCGCUUUGUGCUGUACAGUCCGUUUGGAUCACAUUCCAGUUACCUACUACAUGAACCUCCUCGUUUCCAAUCUGAUCCAGUUCAUCAGUCUGAUUGUAUUUGUGCAUAUAGGCAGAUUUCAUUUCAAUAGCCUUUCUAAAUUUUUUAUUUCCUACAGCUGUAGUGGAAUGGCCAGUUUUUCCUUCAGGAUGGUCUUUGCUCUGGAAAGGUUCCUUUACAUAUCCAAGCCACAGUGUCAUUUCAUGAGACAGUGUAAAGGUUUAGUGACUGUCAGUGUUUGCGGAUGGAUUUUUUCUGGUGUCAUCGUCUUUCUUUUAUUCGCUUUUUAUCACGAUUUACUCCAGAUCUGUCUUUUGCUCCUUGCUACCCUGGUAACCAUCAUCCUUCUUGCUGUGACUCUUAAGUCACUGUGUAAAGCUUCCUCGAUGCCUGUCAAAGAAAAAUGCAGAAACAUAGGAAUUUUAGUUCUGUUGCUGGUUAAUCACAUAGUGACUAUUUUACCAACAGAUGCUUAUUUUUUUUAUUCAUGCUUAUAUUUCUAUCCGAAUAAAUAUGAAUAUUUCAGGCAAAUGGAGACAUCAUUGUUCACAGACAUCAUUUUCACUUUGAGUCUCCACGGUCCUGUCAUGGACUUGAUUCUGUUUGCUUUCAUGUCCAAAGGGCCUUUCAUUAAGCUCCUGAUGCGUCUCUGCUGCUGCAGGAAGGAAACAGCUGCAGCAAAUGACACCAGCAGCUCAUCAGUUUGACUGAAUCAAGUAGGGAAGAGAAACAAAAAACAAAAAUAUAUGCCAAAUAGGCCUUUAUUUCAAGUUAAAGAAACAUUGAUCCUAAAAAUUCAAAGGUUGAAUUGCAGUUUCUGGAACCAGAACUAUAUGUGUAUAUUUACUUCCAUAAAAAUGUUUUGGUUUUAUUAGCAGCCAGAUGAUUUAUAUUAAAUAUUUCAAUUAUUUGUUUUUGUUUCUUAUAAAUAUUUGGUUCUGAGUUUUUCUUGUUGUGUUUCAGAGGCUGCUGCCUCACUGAGGCACUUUGUGAACUUAUUACUAAAAACACAGAUUAGUAAUUCUGUGUUUUUUUCCAUUUACCUUUUUUGUUUUAAAACAUUUACACUGUACACAUCAUAUUGUGAUUUAAAAGAAAAAAAAAUGCUUUGCUUCUUUUAGCAUCGGUGCAGAAAUAUCUUCUAAAGUUUCUGAAAUUGUAACGAUUAGCCGAUAAAUUGUAAAUACAUUUUUAGUUUUGUUGUAACUAAAAUUACUGUUGUGAAUUAUGAUCUGAUCAGUUUGUUAAGGCAGGAGAAAUUAUUAUUUAGUCAAUGGAACCUAAAUCUAUUUUAAGCUUUGACAAUAGCUUAAAACUUUGCUUUUAAGAUGUUUUAGUUUUGUUUUAUUUGCACUAAACAAAAUGCUGCAAAUUAGCUUAGCUAUAAGUACAAUGAUACAUGAUAGAACUGCUUUUUUAUUUGGUUUAUUUAUGUAAAUUUGUGUCUGUUCCUGUCAAAUCAACCUAAUUGUAUUGAGUUGAAAAUCUAAUUGCGUUUGGAAAAAAUUAACAGCAACAUUCAGUUUUUUCAGUCUGUGAUUUAUUUCUUUUUUUAAUUUGAUCAUUUAGUUGUACAUUAAGAGCAGAAAGCAUCUUACAGCUCUACAGAAGCUGAAAUGAAAUGUAAAUCAACGAUGUUACAUUUAAGUUAGCUGAAGUUUAUUUUCAUGAAAUACUUUUGAAUUCAUUUUAUCUCUGUAUAAAUAAAGAUCAGUUUCAACUUGUU